UGUUCUAGCGUUUAAGUGGGUGUGGUGCUAAGUAUAUCUUGUUUAUCUUUCUGUGGAAAAAAGUUUUAAAGUGUAGUUGAAUUUGUCAUAUUAUGCUGACAAAUUAGUGCUGUUGGUUAGCACUACCAAAAAUGUUCUAUCUAGCAACAGUGGUUGUGGCUUGGU
rnacentral:lncRNA from 1 species